UACGUAGGGUGCGAGCGUUGUCUGGAAUUAUUGGGCGUAAAGAGCUUGUAGGCGGUUUGUCGCGUCUGCCGUGAAAGCCCAGGGCUUAACCCUGGGUCUGCGGUGGGUACGGGCAGACUAGAGUGUGGUAGGGGAGACUGGAAUUCCUGGUGUAGCGGUGAAAUGCGCAGAUAUCAGGAGGAACACCGAUGGCGAAGGCAGGUCUCUGGGCCACUACUGACGCUGAGAAGCGAAAGCAUGGGGAGCAAACAGG
rnacentral:rRNA from 1 species